CUGAAUUUGACUCUAUGUCUGUUUUCUUUAGAUGGCCCCUGUUCCUGAGUAAUACCCCAUAGGAGCCCCACACUACUGAUGUAUUGCAUUAAUAUAUCAUCAGUAGCAGUUGUCAUUCCAAUGAUGUAUUAGUGUAAUACAUGAGAACGAGGCUCACUGAUGAUGUAUUUAGGCCUUACAAUAUGGCAUUGUCCAGGGAAGCAAGGGUCCAAUAAGAGAUUCAUUACAAUUACAGUAUGAAGUCAGCUAAUGCACUGCAGGUUGGGAGAUGCAUUUCUCGUACCAGAGGGAGUAGCAAGAAACAUGAAAUGAAGAAGACAAGUAUUAUAAAAAGAAGGAUUGGAGCCAAUCAGAAAUGGGUGCAAAGCAUUCUGCUUAGAAUCUGGGGCAGAGAAAUCGUAAACUGCAGCAAACAUACACUUGCUUGGGUGUUGGGCGAUCAGCAUUCUGGAAGUAAGGCUCAAAUUGCCUCAACGUAUUCCAAAACCUGUGAGGAAAGGAAAGUGAUAGAACAACUUGCCUGAGCGGCAGCAGCAGAAGAGACCAUCUGUGCACCAUUUGGAGAAGUCCCCUGAAGAACUCCCCUGAAGAGCACCGGAUCGUUUUCAUUGAACCAUGGGCACAGGAUUAAGAAGGCCUCACGCUCGUGUUUCAAGACAACUGAAAGGAAUUGAAACAGGUAUUUGAGUUGAGAGCAUAGACCUUGUCUGCCAUAACAAUUUGGUCAAAAUAGGUAUCUCCAUUCUCAAUUAUGUGCAUUUUAUUGUUAUAGAGGGCUAUGCAAGAUUCAUGAACAAUUAACGAAGAGAAAUGAGUUAUCCUGUAGACUAGAAUCUGUUAGAAUCGUCUAACUGAUUUUCCUAUGUUCGUAUAUUCAGAGCAGUAAUGGAUCAAAGAAUAAGAACUUUGUUGUAGGUUAAGUAGCUUCACUGUACAUAUCGUACUGAAUUGAUGCACAUCUAAUAUAUGUGAAUCAAUAGGUUGGAAAAAACAGCAAAUCACGUAUGAUGCAGACUGAGGGAUCCAAGAAUAUAGGGAAGCUGCUGUCAUACAUUGGCUGCUUAUCAUUAGUGAUUAAAAAAUGGCUGAUCAGUUCUACUUUAUCUUCUCCAAAGUGAAGAAGGAGAUAGCAUUAUUUUCCUGCAUCAUCAAAGAGCCUCACAAUUGGAAACUCAAAUAUAUAUUUAAAAAACAGUUAUUUCAUCUAAGAGCAGUUUUUGUAAAAGAGUGAUGUCAACAAAAAUUGAAGCCUCUCUGCACUUUACAGGAUAAAUCCCUGAAAUUCUUUCCACAAUCCAAAUUGAUAGCGUUUAGAACAAUUGUUUUUCAUUAUGGGCACUUUAAUUCCCCUGGUUCUAAACCAAAUCAUUUUUGUUUAUAUAUGAAGUGUCAACAGAUACUGUACAUAUUGAACUCAUAAAAGUCUUGUGUAACACACAGCUAAGUAAAGAGAAGAAAAGAACUGCGGCGUAUACCAAAAUGCUAGUCAAAACUGUUAAAUUGUACGUUUAAGAGUCCCACUGCAGAGAAAAGCUUUCGUUUAUUCACUCCAGUUGUGCAGUUAACAUGAAUGCAUUAAAAAAAGAUAAGUGAUAGCACUUCUAAAUUCUGCUAAUCCUCAUUUUUGCUUUUUAUCUGUGACCAGAAGCUAUUUUGUCAUGAAAGCUGCAAGAUUUCCGCAGUUUACAUUUGAAACAAUUCUUUUUUCCUUCUAAGCUCUCAGGAUAUUCAACAACUCCAAUAACUAUCUGGAGUUUGUGCUGUAGAAUUAAUUUUUUUUUAAUUUUAAUCUUCAAGAUCAGGAGAGAAUAUAGGAUUUGUUUUGCAUAAAUUCUUUGAAAAGAAAUCUCUUUGAUUUUAAUAUUUUUGGAGUACUAUUGAUGUAAGAUCAAACCUUCUUUAAAUGGUUAGGAAUAAAAUAUUGAGGUAAUACA
rnacentral:lncRNA from 1 species